rnacentral:other from 1 species
GUUCCAAUAAGACUGCAAAAGAAUUGAAAG